UACGUAGGCAGCAAGCGUUGUUCGGAGUUACUGGGCGUAAAGGGCGCGUAGGCGGUUCGUUAAGUCCUGUGUGAAAUCCCCCGGCUCAACUGGGGAACUGCACAGGAAACUAGCGGGCUUGAGUUCGGGAGAGGGAAGCGGAAUUCCGGGUGUAGCGGUGAAAUGCGUAGAUAUCCGGAGGAACACCGGUGGCGAAGGCGGCUUCCUGGACCGACACUGACGCUGAGGCGCGAAAGCUAGGGGAGCAAACGGG
rnacentral:rRNA from 1 species